UGGGGAAUAUUGCACAAUGGGCGCAAGCCUGAUGCAGCCAUGCCGCGUGUAUGAAGAAGGCCUUCGGGUUGUAAAGUACUUUCAGUCGGGAGGAAGGUGGUAAGGUUAAUAACCUUAUCAAUUGACGUUACCGACAGAAGAAGCACCGGCUAACUCCGUGCCAGCAGCCGCGGUAAUACGGAGGGUGCAAGCGUUAAUCGGAAUUACUGGGCGUAAAGCGCACGCAGGCGGUUGAUUGAGUCAGAUGUGAAAUCCCCGGGCUUAACCCGGGAAUUGCAUCUGAUACGGGUCAGCUAGAGUCGUGUAGAGGGGGGUAGAAUUCCAUGUGUAGCGGUGAAAUGCGUAGAGAUGUGGAGGAAUACCGGUGGCGAAGGCGGCCCCCUGGACAAAGACUGACGCUCAGGUGCGAAAGCGUGGGGAGCAAACAGG
rnacentral:rRNA from 1 species